rnacentral:rRNA from 1 species
GCGAACGCUGGCGGCAGGCUUCACACCUGCAAGUCGAACGGGCAUCUUCGGAUGUCAGUGGCAGACGGGUGAGUAACACGUGGGAACGUACCCUUCGGUUCGGAAUAACUCAGGGAAACUUGAGCUAAUACCGGAUACGCCCUUUUGGGGAAAGGUUUACUGCCGAAGGAUCGGCCCGCGUCUGAUUAGCUUGUUGGUGGGGUAACGGCCUACCAAGGCGACGAUCAGUAGCUGGUCUGAGAGGAUGAUCAGCCACACUGGGACUGAGACACGGCCCAGACUCCUACGGGAGGCAGCAGUGGGGAAUAUUGGACAAUGGGCGCAAGCCUGAUCCAGCCAUGCCGCGGGAGUGAUGAAGGCCUUAGGGUUGUAAAGCUCUUUUGUCCGGGACGAUAAUGACGGUACCGGAAGAAUAAGCCCCGGCUAACUUCGU